UAGAGUUUGAUCAUGGCUCAGAUUGAACGCUGGCGGCAGGCCUAACACAUGCAAGUUGAGCGGUAACAUGUCUAGCUUGCUAGAUGAUGACGAGCGGCGGACGGGUGAGUAAUGCUUGGGGAUCUGCCUUAGAGUGGAGGAUAACCAUUGGAAACGAUGGCUAAUACUGCAUAGUAUCUGCGGAUUAAAGGGGGCUUCGGCUCUUGCUUUAAGAUGAACCCAAGUGGGAUUAGCUAGUUGGUGAGGUAAUGGCUCACCAAGGCGACGAUCCCUAGCUGGUCUGAGAGGAUGAUCAGCCACACUGGAACUGAGACACGGUCCAGACUCCUACGGGAGGCAGCAGUGGGGAAUAUUGCACAAUGGGCGCAAGCCUGAUGCAGCCAUGCCGCGUGUAUGAAGAAGGCCUUCGGGUUGUAAAGUACUUUCAGUUGUGAGGAAGGGGGUGUUGUUAAUAGCAACAUCUCUUGACGUUAGCAACAGAAGAAGCACCGGCUAACUCCGUGCCAGCAGCCGCGGUAAUACGGAGGGUGCGAGCGUUAAUCGGAAUUACUGGGCGUAAAGCGCAUGCAGGUGGUUCAUUAAGUCAGAUGUGAAAGCCCGGGGCUCAACCUCGGAACUGCAUUUGAAACUGGUGAACUAGAGUACUGUAGAGGGGGGUAGAAUUUCA
rnacentral:rRNA from 1 species